rnacentral:misc_RNA from 1 species
GAUGAAGAACGCAGCGAAAUGCGAUAAGUAAUGUGAAUUGCAGAAUUCAGUGAAUCAUCGAAUCUUUGAACGCACCUUGCGCCCUUGGCCAUUCCGAAGGGCAUGCCUGUUUGAGUAUCAUGAACACCUCAACUCUUCAUGGUUUUCCAUGAUGAGCUUGGACUUUGGGGGUCUUGCUGGCCUGUGGGUCGGCUCCUCUCAAAUGAAUCAGCUUGCCGGUUUUUGGUGGGCAUCACAGGUGUGAUAACUAUCUACGCUUGUGGUUUUCCACCAGGGUAACCUUCAGCAGUGGAGGUUCACUGGAGCUUACAAAUGUCUCUCCUCUGUGAGGACAGCCCUUUGAAUGUUUGAUCUCAAAUCAGGUAGGACUACCCGCUGAACUUAAGCAUAUCAAUAAGCGGAGGA